AUUUUAGAUGCGGAUAAACGUUUAUCUCUGCAAACCUCCAACUCGUACACCAGUGAGUGCGCGGGUCAGUGCGAGUCAUUAUCUGCAGUGACACGGGGGGCCAGGAGGUGUUGCAGCAGGCUUUUGGUGAUCUAUUUGAAAAUACGAGUAUCUGCAUGCGUUUGAGUCUCGGCACCGGAGAGCUUCCGGGCAGGGCGGAUUGUCUUUCAUUGUGCCUGCUAAUUCUUUCAACUACUCUUCUGCCAUUUACCGGACGGUGAAUGUUGUUAAUUGGGGUACCAGUCCUAGCCAGUGUCCUGUGUGUGGUGGUGGUGCGGCUAUAGAUUUGCAGUGUUCACAACGUGGGUGUUGGUGCUGUGUUGUGAGAGCACGAGUGGUUGCUGUGUUCAUUGGAUAAGUAACUUGAAUCCCCCAGUUCUGAAGUUGGAAAAUUGUGUUUGCAUUUCAUGUUUUUAUGAUCAACGCCUAUCUUUUUUUUUAACUGCUUAUGAAAAUAUUCAAUUUUGUAUGUAUUAAAUAGUGAUUUUGAAUAAAUUGUUGAAUCCUUUAUACUGUUGUCUGAUAUCUGUCUCAGCCACCACAUAUCUGUGUGCUGGUGGUACAUUGUAUACCGGUAGGUCCCCGGCCAAUUUUCGGGGUGGCGUAGUCUAUAUUUCUUGUCAUAGUUGGCGCUGGUUUA